AUGGUCUCCGAUUGCGCCUGCAGGAGCGUCUUCGCCCUUCCCCGCCGCUCUGGUGGCUCGUUACGGCGCCUCCUGGAGAUGGAGCACGCCGCCGCUGUCGUCACUCUCUUCGACAGCAUCACGCGAUGCAUGGUCGCCGGCUUCGGUGCCGCAGCGACGGCCUCGACAACACCUCCUUCCGUCUCCCCAAGCACAUCCUCGCUGUCGCACGGGGGCGCCCAGGUUCCGACUAUUUCGAGGACAGGCUACACGCCGGCGCCGCGCUCGCCGACGAGCUGCGCACAGGACCGCGUCGGCGUCUCCGACGACCUAAGAUCUCUGGAUUCCAAGCAGUGGGACAAGGCUUUCGUGGACUGCGCCAUCGUCGUCUAG
rnacentral:rRNA from 1 species